UUUCCCCCUUCUUCAAUGGCCCCGUCCACCACCACCACCAACAGCAGCAAAACCAGCUCAGAAGGCGGCGAAAGGCGGUUCAAAGAAACAAAACCUUAAACAUUUUCUAAUGUACUAGAUGGAAUAUGGAAGGUACACCAUUCAAAUUCCAUUCUCUGCUCGCACAAUUAAAGGUUAAUCAACAAGGAAUAGAUAGAUAGAUAUGAUGAUGAUGGAUGUGAGACGGGGUUGUGCUUCUAACCCAUCAUCUCUAUCAUCAUCAUCGUCUCAUCAUCACCUUUUCCGCUCUUUCCCUUCUCUUCGUCACAAAAAUUCGUCAUCAUUGAAUGAAUAUGAAUUACUAGGCUUUGCGUCAGAGCUAGUGGUGAACUACCUAGUUUCUUCUCCUCUUCAUCUUCCCCAGUAAGGAUCCAUUUUGACACUCCUGAGACGUUCCAGUCUCAAGAUUUUUCACAGCUGUCUUCAGUUUGUCCGAUGCCCGGGGAUAUAGCAGAAGGGGAGGCGUAUUGUAGAAUUUGUAGAGCUGCAUAACAGCUUCAUAUUGCUCUAAGGGAGACGUUAUGCAACCCGGAAAUUCGAGAGUGUUCUUACAUAUGAUUCCUCUUCCGAGAUUGAGGAAGAUUAUCCAUUGCAAGGAAAGAAAGUAGGGGCGCAGCUAGGAUGCAUGGCUACUAAGGAAGGACAGAUGUUCUGUCUGGGAGACCAUCUGACUUCUCUCACAUUGUGAGAGAUGAAUUUAGGGUCAUUCCUAGAGUUUUGAUAACGUAGGUUUAGAGUUUGUUAAAGAGGAUGAAUAAAUGAAUGGUGGUGGUGGGGUUUUAAACUUUUUUUCACAGUUGAACUUGGAAAGCCAAAUGGCAGGUGCUAGCGGCAAUCUUUGGUGAGGUGGUCAGGUGCUAGCCGUAGUCUUUGGUGAGGUGUGGUGAUGGUGGUCAAGGGGAAGUUGUGGCAUGGGAGAAGGCGGUGGUGGAAAUGGUGAAGGUGUCGGCGGAGUUGGUGGGGGUGCUGAAGAUGAUGUUGGUGUAGCUAUAGGUGGCGGUACAUGCACUGCUAGUGAAAUUAGUAGUUGAGGUGCAGUUGAAGGUGGUGGAAUUGGAACUGGCACUGGUGUCCGUGGUGGUGCAAACAUUGGAGGAGAUGGACUAAGAGCUGGUGCUUGUGGUGGAAUUGGCGCUGGAGUUGGUAUCUGUGGUGGAGUUGGGGAUGGUGGUUGAUGUGGAGGACUGGGAAGUGGUGGAGUUGGGACUGGUGCAGAAGCUGGAUUUGGUGUUGGAGCUGGUUUAAAUUGUUGUUUUUUUCAGUUCUAGGGGUGUUCUUGUCCUACUUGUGUUGCGGACGCAAAAGGCAGCAGUUGAAUGAAACCCUCAUCAUGACAUAGUUGCAGACUUAUUGUUGCUACUGUCAGGGACUGAUUCACAUGAUUAACCAUUAGUGAAGAAUGAAAGUAUGCUUCUGCAGGAUAAGGCUAGUCCCAUGGUGGCAGUUGCCCCUGGAUCUCAGCCCAGUUUGGAGGUGAUUCAUUCUCAAAUUUGCAUUAGUUUGUACUAUAGUUGAUACAACACCAGAACACCUUGGCUGUUCCUCAUCAAAACAACAAAAACCAAAUAUCCUAGUUGUAGUGCCAACAUGGAUCACAAGUAGCUACCUCAACGUCUUGAUGCAUAUAGCUCUUUCUGCUGUAUAGUGAACUCAAGGAGGAUGGAUUGAAAUGUUUAGAGGACACUGUCAGCUUUUAUUAUCCUUUCAAAAUCUAUGUGUGUAUGUAAAAAAUUUAUCCUUUUACAUCUGUCUGUAUGUUUAUGUAAAAUAUUUGUUGAG